GUCUAUGGCCAUACCACCCUGAAUGCGCCCGAUCUCGUCUGAUCUCGGAAGCUAAGCAGGGUCGGGCCUGGUUAGUACUUGGAUGGGAGAAAAGAUGGAGUUUUCCUGUUUAAGCAAUGGCUC
ensembl:rRNA 5S_rRNA 5S ribosomal RNA